rnacentral:rRNA from 1 species
UACGGAGGAUGCGAGCGUUAUCCGGGUUUAUUGGGUUUAAAGGGUGCGUAGGCGGACUGUCAAGUCAGCGGUAAAAUUGAGAGGCUCAACCUCUUCCCGCCGUUGAAACUGGUGGUCUUGAGUGGAUGAGAAGUACGCGGAAUGCGUGGUGUAGCGGUGAAAUGCAUAGAUAUCACGCAGAACUCCGAUUGCGAAGGCAGCGUACCGGCAUCCAACUGACGCUGAGGCACGAAAGCGUGGGGAUCAAACAGG